AGAAAAGCAGGAAGGAAAAUAGAGACUUUGGAGGAUUGUGGAUUCCUAGGGUGGCACUCAGGAGCUGAGAGCACAAGAAUGAAGAAGACAACACUCUCUUCGCCCUUAAGGGAUUUGCAGACUAGCAGGGAAAAUACAUUCAGCAAAUAAAUGCAAUAAAUCAAAUGAACUAUUAUGAAAGAACAUACAGGAAAGGAAUGUAACCAGGCCUACACAUCUGGGAAUGACUUGCUAAAAAAAAAGAUGUUUAGUCGGGAACUGGCAGCAUAAAUAGAUACUGUCUAAAUAGAGACUAGAUAGAAAAAGUGUUUUAAGGAAUAGGAAGACAUGGAAAAUUGUGAAGGAAGAGGAUGUGGCAUGUUUUAGAAGUCAAGAGACGUCCAAGAGGAUUACUGGAAUGCAGAAAGAAGAGGAACAGUAGGAAAGGAGAUGGAGCAUAAUUCCGUACUUCAAGAACAUGGGCUUCAAAUAGAGCUGUCCUUCCAAAGGCAACUAUAUGGAAAGAGGAGACGAGUACCUCUAUAUCAGAGAAGCCUGACAAAUACUACCUCAGCCAGCAAUAUGAACAAACCAAAUUGUCAAACACUGAAUCCGUAGAUGAAUGUACUUCCAAAAUCAUUUCCCUGAUCCACUGUAAACAGCUUGAUCACACUGGAGAAUGUGACCCAUGGAGUUGCUGAAGUGUAUUUUCCUGCUUUACCUCAUGCAGAAUACUCAAACUAAGAGUUUUCUGAAAUGUCACUUCACAAACAAACUGAAGAAACUGGAGGAGAUAAACUAGGAUUUCUGGCUGUGAACAGCAAUUGCAAGAUUGCAAUGGAAAUAAGUCCUGUUGGGCAAUGGCAGAGUGGCAGCGUCUGUACCUGGGAAAACCCUACAAAACUCAUGUGAGGGUCAAAGACCAGGACUUGGUGCUGAGCUUCAGAAAAUUAAUUGAUCUUCCUAGAGCACUCACACCAGGGAAUUAGGUUACCAUCUGCAUAUGUCAUCAAGUGGCUCACUUCCCUGCUUUGUCAAGUAUGUUAGUUUUUUAUUGUUGCAGUAACAAAUUGCCACAAACUUAGUGGAUUAAAGCAACACAAAUUUAUUAUCUUGCAGUUCUGUAGGUCAGAAGUCCAAUAAGGGUCUCACUUGAUUAACAUUAAUGUGUCAGUGGGAGGCUAGCACAGCAGGUGGAGUCUCUCUCACAAGUAUCGCUGACUCUUUUGUCAUCACAUCUCUUUCUCUGACCACCGUUGGAAAAGAGUCUCUGCUUUUAAAGAUUGGGGUGAUUAGAUGGGGCUCAUCUGGAUAUUCUAGGGCAAUUUCCCCAUCUCAAGGUCUGUAUUCUUAAUCAUAUCUGCGAAGUACUUUUGGUCAAGUAAUGUAACAUAUUCACAGAUUUGGGGAAAUAAGAAGUAGAUUUCUUUGGAGGCCAUUAUCCUGUCUACCACACCAAAUGAAGAGUAGAAUGAUAAGAGAUUUUUCUGGCCUCCACCUUUCAACUUAUCCUUAUCUUAACCAACUGACUGAAUCUGGGCCUACAACCAUACAACCCAACAUGUUUUAACCCUACACUCUUCUUAUUGCUUAGUUUUAGCUCAUCAGGCUUAAAAACCAUACCAUCUACAAUUUUCCCCCUUCUUCUCAACAAUAUCUAGGAUGUGGAAAAUUCAUAAGAAAUAAAUUGCUUACAAAUAAAGUUAUAAGAAAUAAAAAAUUUAUAAGAAAUAAAUCUCUUAAUUGAAAAAAUAUGUUAAUUAAUUCUCAGUAAUAAUCUUGCAUUUAUACAUCAGUUUUCUUCUGGGGUGAGGCAGCCAAAAUUUUUUCCAAAAUUAAACAUACUCAUUAAAACAGUGCCAUGAGAUGGUCAUAAUAUAUUUAACAAUGGCAGCCAAUUGGGAUUCUUUGAAAAAUAAAACUGAAUAGAUGGGCUUCUUCAGAGGAGGACCUUCAGAGAAUUCCCACCUUCAAUCUGUGCCCUAGGUAGCUCAGGAAGACAAAUUAUUGUAUUCUGUUCUUAGGCCCCAAUGAAUAAACCUUAUUUGUCUAUUAAAAAUUACAGUAUUUUAUUUUUAAUGAACUGUACUAGGGGAGCCUGGCUGGCUCAGUAAGAAGAACAUUCGACUCUUGAUCCCACAGUAGUGAGUUCAAGCCCCAUGUUGGGCGUAAAGAUUACUAAAAAAUUUAAUAAAAAUGUUAAAGAAAUAAAAUGGUUAAGAAAAAAUUUCAGCUUAAAAAUACUAUGCUAAUACAAGUUUUGAAGUGGAGGGUAUAUAUCUUUGCUACAAUUUUAUUGGUGAAUGGAAUUAAGUUUUUUUUUACAUUAUAUAAACUGAAGAUAAAAUUGAAUUUACCUUGGUGCGCCAGGGUGGCUCAGUGCGUUAAGGGUUGGACUUUUGAUUUUGCUCAUGUCAUGAUCUUGGGGUCUUGAGAAUGAGCCUCAUGUGGGACUCCACACUGGGUAUGGUACCUGCUUAAGCACCUCUCUCUCCCUCUCCUCUCUCUCUGCCCCUUCUUCCACCCAGGCCCUUCUUGCACUCUCUCUCUCUCUCUUAAAAAAUUUUAACUUACCUUAAAGAUAUUUAAGCUUAAACUUCAAGUCACUUAAUUUUGUGUUAGUAGUGUUUUAUAAUAUUUUUCUAAAGAGGGUUACAAAAAUUACAUAGGUUUAAGACCCCAUAAAACUUGGGGCCACCACUGAAUGGAGUUUCCUGUUUGAAUUGCAUAAGUGUUUAAUAAUCAUAAUAUUUCUUUUUCUUUUAAAAAAAGAUUUUAUUUAUUUAUUCAUGAGAGCACAGAGAGAGUCAAAGACAUAGGCAGAGGAAGAGGGAUUCCGA